rnacentral:rRNA from 1 species
UACGAAGGGGGCUAGCGUUGCUCGGAAUUACUGGGCGUAAAGCGCACGUAGGCGGAUCUUUAAGUCAGGGGUGAAAUCCUGGAGCUCAACCCCAGAACUGCCUUUGAUACUGAGGACCUUGAGUUCGGGAGAGGUGAGUGGAACUGCGAGUGUAGAGGUGAAAUUCGUAGAUAUUCGCAAGAACACCAGUGGCGAAGGCGGCUCACUGGCCCGGUACUGACGCUGAGGUGCGAAAGCGUGGGGAGCAAACAGG